GACGAACGCUGGCGGCGUGCCUAAACACAUGCAAGUCGAACGGGACCAGGGGCAACUCUGGUUCAGUGGCGGACGGGUGCGUAACACGUGAGGAACAUGACCUUCGGCGGGGGAGUAGCCGGCCCAACGGCCGGGUAAUACCGCGUACGACCACUUGGGGACAUCCUUGAGUGGUGAAAGCAGCAAUGCGCCGAUGAAGUGCCUCGCGGCCUAUCAGCUAGUUGGUGAGGAACGGCUCACCAAGGCGACGACGGGUAGCUGGUCUGAGAGGAUGGCCAGCCACAUUGGGACUGAGACACGGCCCAGACUCCUACGGGAGGCAGCAGUGGGGAAUAUUGCGCAAUGGACGAAAGUCUGACGCAGCGACGCCGCGUGUGGGAUGACGGU
rnacentral:rRNA from 1 species